rnacentral:rRNA from 1 species
UACGUAGGGUGCAAGCGUUAAUCGGAAUUACUGGGCGUAAAGCGUGCGCAGGCGGUUCUAUAAGACAGAUGUGAAAUCCCCGGGCUUAACCUGGGAACUGCGCUUGUAACUAGCGGGCUAGAGUGCGGCAGAGGGGGGUGGAAUUCCACGUGUAGCAGUGAAAUGCGUAGAUAUUCGCAAGAACACCAGUGGCGAAGGCGGACUCACUGGCCCGGAACUGACGCUGAGAUGCGAAAGCGUGGGGAGCAAACAGGGAUUAAGAAACCCCAGUAACGUCAC